rnacentral:lncRNA from 1 species
GUUUCAUCUCACAAGACAUUGCUUUUUGCAGUGUUUCAGUAGAAUAUUUUUACAGACUACUCCAAGGAAGUCUUCCCCAGGCCAUGGUCUAAGGGACUAUUGAGAAAUUAUCCUCUUCCUGAACCAACUUCAUCCACCAUUGCAUGCAUCUCACAAAUGAGGCAUUUGUCAGAGACCCCUUGGAGAGUGAUAAUAUUUAAUAAAUUUGGUCCUUGAAGCAAGAGGUCGAAGGCCAAAAUGUAGAUUUCAAAGAAAACCUUAAGAAUUGAAGUAAUACAAAAACUUAAUGAGCUGCCUCAGGAAAUGAGAGAUCAUCAAGCAAGAGUCAAAGGAUGAUCUUAGGAAUAGUUAAUCAUUCAUAGAAAUUCCCUAAUCUUCAGCAAUCUAUUUUAUGUUCCUUCUAAUACCAUCAAGUAUUACCAUAUAAAGCAUCAGAGGAAAAGGAGGAGUUGGAGCUACUGCAAAGAGGAGCUGCUGCAAAGAGCAAGGUUCCAGAAUUCUGGGGUUGUGAGAGCUUGGCUUUUGACUGGAAACAGUUGAAGACAAGGGUGAUAAGUGAGUCUAGCUCCUUCGGUGGACCUCGUGAGUUGGACUAGUCUCCCUCUCUUGUGACUGCAUGCCUUAUCCAAUGGCUGGUCCCUGUGUCCCUUUGAGUGUAUCUUGUGGCUGAUAGAGAGUGAUUUCCAACAGAGCUGCUCAAGACAUCCAAGUGCCAACUGUCAGUGAGAACUCUUUCCUCUUGGCCUGGUCCUGCGACCGUCAAUUCCUUACCAUCUUUAAAUAUCAACUAAGGGGGAUAUUUAUUUUAAGAUACUUUAAUGGAAACAGUGUAUCAAUAAAGGGCAGUUAAUAUUUCCA